CUUGUUCGAAAAAAGAUGGAUGGUUAUCUUGGCCAAUUUGUUUUAAUGCAAUGAAAGCUACCUAUAAUAAUUUUCCAAUCGUUGAUUCCUGCAACAAGCUUAGACUUAAAAGAGAUUUAAUUUCACGACUAAAGAGGACUCCAAAGAAGAAUUUCUGGUGGAUCAAAGAUCGAGGAAUGAUUUGCUUUUAACUGGUUUGCAUCUUAUGAACGAAGUACGUAAUAUGAUUUAAACUAAUGAUUUAUAGUUACACCU